rnacentral:rRNA from 1 species
UACAGAGGGUGCAAGCGUUGUUCGGAUUUACUGGGCGUAAAGGGCGCGUAGGCGGCCACCGCAAGUCGGUUGUGAAAUCUCCGGGCUUAACUCGGAAAGGUCAACUGAUACUGUGCGACUAGAGUGCAGAAGGGGCAACUGGAAUUCUCGGUGUAGCGGUGAAAUGCGUAGAUAUCGAGAGGAACACCUGCGGCGAAGGCGGGUUGCUGGGCUGACACUGACGCUGAUGCGCGAAAGCCAGGGGAGCGAACGGG